CAAGAGACUACGUGAGACAUGUAUUUAGAAUUUGGCUCCAGGAUAAUUUUUUUCCCAAGAAAUUGAUGAGUUUUUUCUUUCUGAAUAAAAGAAUGAGGGAAGCUCAGAGCCAAAACUGAUGUUUAAUCUCAGCAACUCUACUAGUGUUCAUGAUCUAAUGAAAGAUGCAUAGAAGAGACAACAUCCAAUUCGUUUGUUGUAUGUACCAUACGCCUACCCCUUCAGUGCCCAGUUAUUGAAUGGAUAGAUGGACAGAUGGAUGGAGGUGCCUUUGGGCAAAACUGGGAAUGUCUGACAAUUACAUUAAAUUGAGUCCUUUAAAAUAUCUUCCUUCUUUUAUCCUAUUCUUUAGUUUCAUUUAGCUUGUACUUUCAUUUAACUUGUACUUUGUAAUUACAAAGGGGCUAAUAAAAAAAUUGAAAUGCCUUGAAUUAACACUUUUAAAAUAUUCUCAAGCUGCAUUUCCUUCUUCAGUGUGUUUUAUAAUCUUUAUUCCAUCUGGUAAUUAUAACAAUACAAACCAUAGCUUGUGAGCCUAACUCACAUACAACUUAAUAGAACGUAAUAAGUUUUCCAAAGAAAAUUCAAAUCUAUUAUGAUUUGAAUCUCCACUUCUUUAAUAAGUAAAAUCCUGGUUUUCUUAGCAUAAUAGUGUCUCCUGCAUUAUUACUUUGUUCAUUUUUGAAAACUGAGAUUUGGGGGAAGGAAAUAUGAGAGUGGAUGGGGGAAGUCCCCUAAAUGCUAAUAUCACUUUUUAACAGCUAAAGACAGAUGAGGAUGGAGGAAGAAAGAGCAGCAAGAGUUACAGGAAUUUUGGCCAGAAAUCAAUGGAAAGCUCUGAGCCCCCUACUAAAACAAUGAUAUGCCAAUAGCCACAUGAGAAUUUGAUGGAUGGUUCUAGGGGUCAAAUAAAAGUGAAUUAACACGGGCAGUAAACCAUAUGGAGGAACCAGCAGGCAGGGAGAGAUGGCAAAAAAUUGACAUGGAAAACUUGAGCAGAAGCAAACCAGAAGGGGCAAAAAGGAAAACAAAGGAAGGGACAGUUGAGGCCCUUGGGAAUUGUCCACAAUGACUCCUAAAUGUUGAGCUAAAAUUGGCUCCCUGGAUGAAGCCAUCAUUAUUAGUUCAUUCUAAGACAUUAUGGAGAGGAAAUUAAGAUGUUCUAAAAUCAUUUAAAAUGUUUAUGUUUCUUUUUAUAUCCCUCUGUCCUUUAGGAUUUCUUUAAGGAACUUAGGGUAAAGUUUCAUAUAAAUAUGAAUCAGAGAAUUAAAACACAUCUUAGGGAACCACCUGGCCCAAGCCUCCUUUUACAUUAGGAAACUAAGGUCCAAGUUAACUUGGCCAAGGUUAACAUAACACAGUCUUUUCUACUUAUUUGCAGUUCUAUGCUAGACAGGUUGGGUCAGAUUCGCCUAUGGUGUCCCUCCCGUCCAGCACUCAUGGAGUCUAGCACACGAGAAGUGCUCCAGAACAUCAGCUGAGUGAGCGAGAAAUGGCAACUCACUGCUUCUAUUUGGGGUUAUUUCUCAUGGGUCUGUCUUCUGAAAGGCUGCCCUAUUCCCUCCAGCUUAUUAUUUCUAGCACGCCCAGUAACAAUGGCUAUAGAUAGGAGAAUGAAUGUCUGCAGUGUGACAACUGGGAAUUAAAGAAAAUGCGUCACGUUGGUCAGAAACAGAGAGCUCUCCAGAGCACCAAGACUCCAGGGAUCCGUGGCACUGCCUCCACACUCACAGAGGGAGCCCCCAGGGUACACAGUGCCCCUCAGGAGAGCUGCUCAUCCACAGAGCUGACCAGUGACUUAUGUAGCUUGAGGUUUGUGACUUAACUUCUUGAAGACUCCAUAUUUCCUUCUGUUAAGUGGAAGUCCAUUUUUCCAAGACCUA
ensembl:lncRNA